CCUUCUCGUGCAUCGCAAAACUAUGGAUGCUCGCCAUGGAGAUCCUCGCCUCGCCAUGGUUCAGGACAGCACGGUGCACGGCGGUCUUGACCCUGCCAUUGCUCAGAACCUCCAUGCAGUCUCCUACGUGGACGUGCAACGCGUGCCGGGGUUGCUGGACCACUCUCCAAGUGUCACUACUGCGGUCAAGGACCUCCAGGCCCGGGCAGCUCGCGAGCAAGAUGUUUGAAGAAUUCUGAAGCUGCUUCAACGGCACGGUCCAUGACAGAUUGACUGAUCCCAUGGUUUAUAACCUGAAAAAAAUGAGGAUUAUCAUGGCAAUUUGGAUACGCGGGUAAGCUUUGUUUGCUCCCUUAUACCUGCUUGUUAGUAGAGUGUCUAACAAGGGUUCAUGAAAACGCAGUACCUUAAACUCUCCCCUAACCCUAACAUAGACACAUGGCUACUUUAUCGGAAAGACACAUUCUAUGAAGUUGUUACUUUUCUCGAA